AUGCAGAAGCAUCUCUCACCCCCAUGCCCCAGCUAUCAGCAGCAGGUACUUAAGGAGAAAGUACAACAAACAGGACAGCAAUACAGCGUGACAUUCUCCUCCCACCAGCCCCAAGAGGAAGGUAUGAGCAGGGCCCAGGCAGCUCUCACCUCACUGUGGCCGUGCUCCCUUGCUCAGGACUCCCAGUCCUCUGUUCCUGUGCACCAGAGCCACCUACAGCUCCUUCAGACACAGCCUCCACCUCUUUCCUCUGGAUACCUUUUCCAAGGCCCAGCUCUGGCAGCUUCCUUUCAAUCUGCACUUCUACUGGCACUGUGCCCUCUUGCGCUGCCCCUGAUGCAGGCACUGCAGGCUGCUGCCCCCACAACCCCAGGCAGCCUCUGCCUGGGGGUCCCUGUACUGCUUCCAGGGCCUCACACACCAUCACUCCCUGGCCUAGAGGCCUCCCCUCUCCCAGCACUGCCUGCUCCCCACCUGUACCACACUCCAGCAGUCCCUGCCCCAUGGCCACCUCCUCUUGUGGCCCUGCCGCUCCCUCCACCACCUCUUCCUCUCCUGACCCAGCUCUGGCCCUCUCUCCAGACACCCCCAUCACCACCCCAUCAGAUUUUUGUUCCAUUGCUCCAUCCAUCUUUGCAGCACUGCCCAAAGAUAGGCUUCCACUCAAAAGCACUAUUGCUGAGCCCUCCUUAUCCCCUGAUGUUGCUGCCUGCUCCAAUGGAGUUGACCCUCCACUGGAAGGGUCCCUUCCAGCACCCACCCCAGCUUCUUGCCCAGGUGCUGUGCGUAAUGCAGGACCACUGCCUGAGUCCUUGGGCUCCUCCACAUCCUCUGCCCUUGGUUGAGAGCUGCCUUCCCCCUCAGGUGGUCUGUCAGGCUCAAAUGUCACUGUCCCACAGGCAUCCAUCUCCACCUGCUCUUCCCCUGAGACUCUCAGCUGAGAAAACUCAUUUGGUUUUAGGAUCUUUUCCUUUCCUGUGCAAAAUUCUGUAUCCCCUAACAUUCCUAGGAGAGCUCCAGGCUCCUCCACAGUCUUCUGCCCUUCAAAAGCAGCUUUUUCUGCAGCCCACACUGCUGCAGGGUCACCCACCUUAG
rnacentral:lncRNA from 1 species